GUGGGGAAUUUUGGACAAUGGGCGCAAGCCUGAUCCAGCAAUGCCGCGUGCAGGAAGAAGGCCUUCGGGUUGUAAACUGCUUUUGUACGGAACGAAACGGUCCGGGUUAAUACCCGGGGGUCAUGACGGUACCGUAAGAAUAAGCACCGGCUAACUACGUGCCAGCAGCCGCGGUAAUACGUAGGGUGCGAGCGUUAAUCGGAAUUACUGGGCGUAAAGCGUGCGCAGGCGGUGAUGUAAGACAGUUGUGAAAUCCCCGGGCUCAACCUGGGAACUGCAUCUGUGACUGCAUUGCUGGAGUGCGGCAGAGGGGGAUGGAAUUCCGCGUGUAGCAGUGAAAUGCGUAGAUAUGCGGAGGAACACCGAUGGCGAAGGCAAUCCCCUGGGCCUGCACUGACGCUCAUGCACGAAAGCGUGGGGAGCAAACAGGAUUAGAAACCCGGGUAGUCC
rnacentral:rRNA from 1 species